rnacentral:rRNA from 1 species
AACGAACGCUGGCGGCAUGCCUAACACAUGCAAGUCGAACGAGACCUUCGGGUCUAGUGGCGCACGGGUGCGUAACGCGUGGGAACCUGCCCUUAGGUUCGGAAUAACUCCCCGAAAGGGGUGCUAAUACCGGAUAAUGUCUUCGGACCAAAGAUUUAUCGCCUUUGGAGGGGCCCGAGUUGGAUUAGCUGGUUGGUAGGGUAAAAGCCUACCAAGGCGACGAUCCAUAGCUGGUCUGAGAGGAUGAUCAGCCACACUGGGACUGAGACACGGCACAGACUCCUACGGGAGGCAGCAGUGGGGAAUAUUGGAAAAUGGGCGAAAGCCUGAUCCAGCAAUGCCGCGUGAGUGAUGAAGGCCUUAGGGUUGUAAAGCUCUUUUACCCGGGAUGAUAAUGACAGUACCGGGAGAAUAAGCUCCGGCUAACUCCGUG